AAAGGGCGCGUAGGCGGUUAUUCAAGUCAGGUGUGAAAGCCCUGGGCUCAACCCGGGAAUAGCACUUGAUACUGGAUGGCUUGAAUCCGAGAGAGGUUGGUGGAAUUCCCAGUGUAGAGGUGAAAUUCGUAGAGAUUGGGAAGAACACCGGAGGCGAAGGCGGCCAACUGGCUCGGUAUUGACGCUGAGGCGCGAAAGCGUGGGGAGCAAACAGGAUUAGAUACCCUUGU
rnacentral:rRNA from 1 species